CAAAAACUAACAAGUAACAAACGUAAAUCAAACCGCAUGGUUUCCGUUAAAAAUUGCAAAAAAAGAAUUUAUUAUAAAUAGAGCAAUUGAAUGAAUGAUUAUCACUAAAUUCUGUGCAAUUGAAUUGUAUUAUUUAAAUAUUUGGGGGCUGUUCGUGGAACAGUCCAUGUGUCGAUGUGAGGCGACUCUCUCCGUUAAACGACGACGACGAUUCACUUUUACAGUUUAAAAGAUGUUUACAGGUGACACCCAUCAACCAUUAACAGCAUGCUGCCUGCUCGGCAUGUUGUGACUGUGUUCAAUCAUGGUUGUGAGGAAUUUAUACAAGUUGGCUAGCGAUGUGGCUUGUUUCCUAACCCUAUCUUUUUCUCCCUGACCAUCUACGUAACCAACUAAGUAUUCUUUCAGUCAACAAGUGGGGGUCGUUUGACGCUUAGCUUCCCACCCAAAAAGAGUCAAAGUGUUCCGCAUCAAGGUCAGCUUAACACGUUUGGUUCACCGAGGCCCUAUGUCCUUUGUGAAAAGAUUGACGGAUCCUACUGUCGGAUGCUUACUUUAUGUGUGUUCACACGAUCCGUUUUUUAAAAUCCAACAAAUCAGAUAGUGUGUGAACAGGCCUUAAAAAUGACUUGUGUUAGCACAAUAUUAUAGGAUAUAUUGUGAAUCUGUAUGUAACAUUUUUUUCUCGGUGUUUGCCAAUUGUACGAAAAAUAAAUUGUAUCAGUCUGAUUGUGUUCAAUAUAUAAUGUAAAAUUUUAUGAUAAUCUAAUAAACUGUUUUUACUAUGA